rnacentral:ncRNA from 1 species
AACCCCGUGAGAAUGCCCCACAGUUCCCUGCUUGGGAACAAGGAGCUGGUAUCAGGCACUUUUACAGAAAAUAGCCCACGACACCUUGCUAAGCCACACCCUCAAGGGAUCUCAGCAGUGAUAAACAUUAAGCCAUAAGCGAAAGCUUGACUUAGUUAAGGCUUACAGGGCCGGUAAAACUCGUGCCAGCCACCGCGGUUAUACGAGAGGCCCAAGCUGACAAUCGCCGGCGUAAAGAGUGGUUAAUAAUUUACACAAUACUAAAGCCGAACAUCUCCAAAGUUGUACAACACACUCGAAGAUAUGAAGAACAACCACGAAAGUAACUUUACACUCUUUGAACCCACGAAAGCUGGGGAACAAACUGGGAUUAGAUACCCCACUAUGCCCAGCCCUAAACUUAGAUAGAACCUUACUCUUAUCUAUCCGCCCGGGUACUACGAGCACCAGCUUAAAACCCAAAGGACUUGGCGGCGCUUCACACCCACCUAGAGGAGCCUGUUCUAGAACCGAUGACCCCCGUUCAACCUCACCUUCUCUUGUUUAUCCCGCCUAUAUACCGCCGUCGUCAGCCCACCCUGUGAAGGCCCAGUAGUGCGCAAGACUGGCAUAGCCCAGAACGUCAGGCCGAGGUGUAGCGUAUGAGAAGGGAAGAAAUGGGCUACAAUUGCUUAAACAGCUAAAACGAAUUGUAACGCUGAAAACGCACACAUGAAGGAGGAUUUAGAAGUAAGGGGACAAACAGAGUGUUUCCCUGAAAUGGUUCUGAAGCGUGCACACACCGCCCGUCACUCUCCCCAAGCUAGAAUACUGCAACGAUAUAACUAAAUAAUUAAGCCUACAAAGGGGAGGCAAGUCGUAACAUGGUAAGUGUACCGGAAGGUGCACUUGGAAGAAAC